CAGGCCUAACAUAUGCAAGUCGAACGAGAACGGAUUAUAGCUUGCUAUAAUUGUCAGCUAAGUGGCGCACGGGUGAGUAAUAUAUAGGUAAUGUGCCCUAGAGAAGAGGAUAACAGUUGGAAACGACUGCUAAGACUCUAUAUGCCUUUAAGACAGAAGUCUGCAAGGGAAAUAUUUAUAGCUCUAGGAUCAGCCUGUACAGUAUCAGUUAGUUGGUGAGGUAAUGGCUCACCAAGACAAUGACGCUUAACUGGUUUGAGAGGAUGAUCAGUCACACUGGAACUGAGACACGGUCCAGACUCCUACGGGAGGCAGCAGUGGGGAAUAUUGCACAAUGGACGAAAGUCUGAUGCAGCAACGCCGCGUGGAGGAUGACACAUUUCGGUGCGUAAACUCCUUUUAUAUGGGAAGUAAUGACGGUACCAUAUGAAUAAGCACCGGCUAACUCCGUGCCAGCAGCCGCGGUAAUACGGAGGGUGCAAGCGUUACUCGGAAUCACUGGGCGUAAAGAGCGUGUAGGCGGAUAUAUAAGUCAGAAGUGAAAUCCAAUAGCUUAACUAUUGAACUGCUUUUGAAACUGUAUAUCUAGAAUGUGGGAGAGGUAGAUGGAAUUUCUGGUGUAGGGGUAAAAUCCGUAGAGAUCAGAAGGAAUACCGAUUGCGAAGGCGAUCUACUGGAACAUUAUUGACGCUGAGACGCGAAAGCGUGGGGGAGCAAACAGGAUUAGAUACCCUGGUAGUCCACGCCCUAAACGAUGCACACUAGUUGUUGUGAGGCUAGACCUUGCAGUAAUGCAGUUAACACAUUAAGUGUGCCGCCUGGGGAGUACGGUCGCAAGAUUAAAACUCAAAGGAAUUGACGG
rnacentral:rRNA from 1 species